CCUACGGGUGGCAGCAGUGGGGAAUAUUGCACAAUGGGGGAAACCCUGAUGCAGCGACGCCGCGUGAGCGAUGAAGUAUUUCGGUAUGUAAAGCUCUAUCAGCAGGGAAGAAAAUGACGGUACCUGACUAAGAAGCCCCGGCUAACUACGUGCCAGCAGCCGCGGUAAUACGUAGGGGGCAAGCGUUAUCCGGAUUUACUGGGUGUAAAGGGAGCGUAGACGGUCCUGCAAGCCAGAUGUGAAAGCCCGGGGCUCAACCCCGGGACUGCAUUUGAAACUGUAAGGCUAGAGUGUCGGAGAGGCAGGCGGAAUUCCUAGUGUAGCGGUGAAAUGCGUAGAUAUUAGGAAGAACACCAGUGGCGAAGGCGGCUUGCUGGACGAUGACUGACGUUGAGGCUCGAAAGCGUGGGGAGCAAACAGGAUUAGAUACCCCUGUAGUC
rnacentral:rRNA from 1 species